UUUUGUCUUUCCCUGUUUUGUCAUCUUUAGUAUUUUUUGUUUCUUCAUACGUGCAUUUUUAUCGUCCCAACAAUCCACUGGCCUGACGGGCACGCCAAGGCACACAUUUAAUUAUCAGAAGAUGGUUCUGUUUUUAUGGGGCCUGCAUUUGUAAUGGUUCAUUAAGGUCACCAUUGAGCCGCCUUCUGUACUUUAGAGGCGUAUUGUGCGGCUACACGUUUGUGUUUUUUUAUCCAUUCACCCAUUGCAAUGUAAAUUCAAGUUCUUGGAUUUUUAUUUCUUGUUUCUUCUUUUUGGUGAGCGAAUUGGCUAAUUGAGCUAUUUUCCUCUUGGUUUGUUGCAGCAAUUGGGAAGGAUCGUCCUGUAUUAUCUAUCAUGGUUAUUAGCUAGCAAGAGUGAUGCCACAAGUGGAUCUGCCCAGUAAAUUUGUUAAUUACUUCCUUGCAAGAAUGAGUUGAGUUUGGUUUCUAAUCCCUCAAGUCUAUUCAAGAUUGCCCAUUUUUUAGUUACAUACAAAUAUGCACCUUGAUUGCUAUGCAUAAUCACCAGAGUUUUAAAAUCAGAAUGGGGCAAUAAAUGUGUCCACUAUGACAAAGUGAAGACAAAACGAAUGCAUCGAGUUACUAAUGCAGUGGUUUUCAAGGUUGGACAUUGAUAUCAACUAUGAUUAUUUAAUAGAGAAAUUCUGUUCAUAUGAAGCGAAAGAAAAGCAUGCAGUACCUUACAUUGACAGUGAUUAUUAGGCCAUUGUGGUACUUCAAAUUCUGAUAAAGAAUAUAUAUCAUGACCGAGAUUUGGGAUUUGGAGAAUCUCAAUUCUGAUAUGUACAUGCAUCUCCUUUUAUUUUGUCACGCUAUUGAAUGUUCUGAUAUGGGACUACUUACUCUGUAUAUCUCUUAUAUAUAAUAAAAUUGUCUAUAUGUAAA